AGGGGCACUAGAGGGGGCCCGGUGCACACGGGGCUGCGGAGCGAGUUCCGGCUGCUGACAGCAGCACAGGUGUGUGAACGCGGUUCGGCGGAGAAACGGACCUGCCCCGCCCCCGUACUCGGGCAGCGACGAGGAAGCCACUGCUAGCGUUACCGAGCAACGACGCCUUAUGAGUCCCCGCCCCUUUGCGGGAGUCACGGGCUCUUGCUUUGUGAUUGGCUGGUGCCCGGUCUUCUGUUUCCAUGGUGACCGCGUGCGGCUCCUAGGAGAAGCCCUGCUGCCGGGCGCGGGCCGCGCCGCUCGAGAGCGCCAUGAACAGGAAGAAGCUGCAGAAUCUCGCGGAGUCGCUGUGCAGAACCGCGAAGCACUGAAUGGAAAUGGCAUUGGAGCGGAUGAGCUGGUGGUUCAGUCUGAUGCUGAAGAGACCAAUUUCAAAUAUGGAACAGUUAAAAGAAAAAAUCAAUAAAAUUGAAGUGGAAUGUCUCAUAAAGCUGUUCCACACCCUGGUGGUUGAACCCAGUGAUCGGCAUGCCAUCAUUGGCUUAGAUCGCAACAUGUUCAGAAACAUUCUGCAUGUCACAUUUGGGAUGACAGAUGACAUGAUUAUGGACCGAGUGUUCCGUGCUUUUGACACAGACAAUGACAGCUGUGUCAGUGUAACGGAAUGGGUGGAAGGUUUAUCAAUAUUUCUUCGAGGGACAUUAGAAGAAAAGAUGAAAUAUUGUUUUGAGGUCUAUGAUCUGAAUGGUGAUGGAUACAUUUCAAGAGAGGAAAUGUUUCAUAUGCUGAAGAAUAGCCUGCUAAAACAACCAUCAGAAGAAGAUCCUGAUGAGGGAAUUAAGGACUUGGUAGAAAUAACACUGAAGAAAAUGGACUAUGAUCAUGAUGGCAAGCUCUCUUACACAGAUUUUGAAAAAGCUGUAAGAGAUGAAAAUCUUCUCUUGGAAGCAUUUGGACCAUGUUUGCCAGACAUCAAGAGCAGCAUGGCAUUUGAAAUGCAGGCAUUCCGAGAAACUGGUGAUAUGUAGCUCUGCAACUGGAAAACUGCUGUGAAGGACAGUUUCUCUGCAUCAGUUUUCUUAAGACAGUAAAAACAGCAGCAAGUCAGAACUCUUACUUUAAUACUACAUCUCGGCAUUCCUUAACUUCAGUAUACCUGCUACUGAAGAAAUGGAAUGACAACAUGGAAUACUGGGAAAAUAGUACAGCAUCAACAAGCAAGUGAAUCAGUGACCUACAACUUGCUGUAUUUUAAUAAAUAAUUGAUUUUGAAGGUUUGGUAAUGAUA